rnacentral:rRNA from 1 species
CCUACGGGAGGCAGCAGUGGGGAAUAUUGGACAAUGGGGGCAACCCUGAUCCAGCCAUGCCGCGUGUGUGAAGAAGGCCCUCGGGUUGUAAAGCACUUUCAGUGAGGAAGAACGCCUGGUGGUUAAUACCCAUCAGGAAAGACAUCACUCACAGAAGAAGCACCGGCUAACUCCGUGCCAGCAGCCGCGGUAAUACGGAGGGUGCGAGCGUUAAUCGGAAUUACUGGGCGUAAAGCGCGCGUAGGUGGCUUGAUAAGCCGGUUGUGAAAGCCCCGGGCUCAACCUGGGAACGGCAUCCGGAACUGUCAAGCUGGGGUGCAGGAGAGGAAGGUAGAAUUCCCGGGGUAGCGGUGAAAUGCGUAGAGAUCGGGAGGAAUACCAGUGGCGAAGGCGGCCUUCUGGACUGACACUGACACUGAGGUGCGAAAGCGUGGGUAGCAAACAGGAUUAGAUACCCUUGUAGUC